AUGACCUUUUCACUUUCUCAAAUGGAGAUGUGGCCUUGGUUUCCUGCACCCUGCUUUAAACUGACAAGGAAGGCAUGCUGGGUAUUUGCUAAUUCCACCUCGUUCCUUUCAUUCCAACCAGAGGUUCCCUGGAGCAUCCAAAGCAGGAGGUGGCACUGUGUGGCUCCAAUCCCAGGCUGGGAUGCAGGCCCCACUCUGAAGACUCAAGAGCUUCCUUCUCUCCAGCAGCUCAACUCCCACCUUGUUUCACAGGGGACUGAGUGGACAAGAAGGAACGGGACAGAGCUGAUGACCCACAGCGGUGAAGCCACAUCCGGCCAGUGGGGCAAAGACUGAGACAGGAGGAUCACUGCAAGUUCAGGCCACAUGGUGAAUUCUAUGUUGUUCUGAGCUACAGAGUGAGACCUCAUGUCCCCAAAGAGGAGGCGGCAGCUGGAAAGAUUGCUCCGUGGUUAGAAGUGUGUACUAUUGGAAAGCCCUGAGUUUAGUUCCUAGCACCCAUGUUAGGUGGCUCACAAACGCCUGUCACUCUAGCUCCAGGAGAUCUGACACCCGUUUUGGCCUCUGCAGGUACCUCCACCCACAUGCACACAUCCAUACAGACAUACACACAUACGAUACUGAAAUUAAAAUUAAU
rnacentral:lncRNA from 1 species